rnacentral:rRNA from 1 species
UACGUAGGGGGCAAGCGUUGUCCGGAUUUAUUGGGCGUAAAGAGCGUGUAGGCGGUUCGGUAGGUCCGUUGUGAAAACUCGAGGCUCAACCUCGAGACGCCGAUGGAAACCCCCGAACUAGAGUCCGGAAGAGGAGAAUGGAAUUCCUGGUGUAGCGGUGAAAUGCGCAGAUAUCAGGAGGAACACCGGUGGCGAAGGCGGGUCUCUGGGCAGUAACUGACGCUGAGGAGCGAAAGCGUGGGGAGCGAACAGG